ensembl:snRNA U6 U6 spliceosomal RNA
GUACUCACUUCGGCAGCACACAUACUAAAAUUGAAAUGAUACAAAGAAGUUUAGCAUUGCCCCUGCACAAGGAUAAGAUAAAUUUGUGAAGUGUUCCAUAUUUUC